UACGAAGGGUGCAAGCGUUGCUCGGAAUCAUUGGGCGUAAAGCGAGCGCAGGUGGUUUUGUAAGUCAGGAGUGAAAGCCCAGGGCUCAACCCUGGAAGUGCUUUUGAUACUGCAAAACUUGAGUGUGGGAGAGGGUGCUAGAAUUCCUGGUGUAGUGGUGAAAUACGUAGAUAUCAGGAAGAACACCCGUGGCGAAGGCGGCUCUCUGGGACGGUACUGACGCUGAGACGCGAAAGCGUGGGGAGCGAACAGG
rnacentral:rRNA from 1 species